GAUGAACGCUGGCGGCGUGCCUAACACAUGCAAGUCGAACGAAGUUACUAAAAGGAAAUUUUCGGAUGGAAUUUUGGUAUACUUAGUGGCGGACGGGUGAGUAACGCGUGAGCAACCUGCCUUUCAGAGGGGGACAACAGUUGGAAACGACUGCUAAUACCGCAUAACAUAUGACCAAGGCAUCUUGGACAUAUCAAAGGAGCAAUCCGCUGAAAGAUGGGCUCGCGUUGGAUUAGAUAGUUGGUGGGGUAACGGCCUACCAAGUCAACGAUCCAUAGCCGGACUGAGAGGUUGAACGGCCACAUUGGGACUGAGACACGGCCCAGACUCCUACGGGAGGCAGCAGUGGGGGAUAUUGCACAAUGGGCGAAAGCCUGAUGCAGCAACGCCGCGUGAGGGAAGAAGGUCUUCGGAUUGUAAACCUUUGUCCUUGAUGACGAAUAAAGUGACGGUAAUCAAGGAGGAAGUCACGGCUAACUACGUGCCAGCCGCCGCCGUAAUAC
rnacentral:rRNA from 1 species